CGUAGGUGCGAGCGUUGUCCGGAAUUACUGGGCGUAAAGAGCUCGUAGGCGGUUUGUCACGUCGUCUGUGAAAUCCCUAGGGCUUAACCCUGGACGUGCAGGCGAUACGGGCUGACUUGAGUACUACAGGGGAGACUGGAAUUUCUGGUGUAGCGGUGGAAUGCACAGAUAUCAGGAAGAACACCGAUGGCGAAGGCAGGUCUCUGGGUAGUAACUGACGCUGAGGAGCGAAAGCAUGGGUAGCGAACAGGAUU
rnacentral:rRNA from 1 species